AAACCAUGCAUAGGACAUUUCUUAGCAACUCCUUAAAUCGUUCCCAAGCCUUAUAUAAGCUUUCAUCAUCCAUUUCCUUGAAAGACUUUAGCACAUUUCUAAGCU